GGCGCGCUGCCCCGCUCCCCGCAGCCUCCCGCCCCGGGGCUCCCCCGGCACGGCAGCUCAGCCCGGCCCCACCUCCCUGUCGGAGCCCCGGCAGCCGCACGCCGUCCCUUCCUUCCUACUCCUCCCCGCCGCGGGGAGCGGGGCCGGCCGGACGGGUGUCUCGCUGCGCCCGCGGCUCCGCGGCCCCCGCCGGCUGCCCUCCCCGCGGCCGGGAGCAACCAUGGCGGGCGGGACAGCGGCACCCCGCCGCCGCCGCCGCCGCCGCGCCCCCACACGCACACGGCCGGAGCGGUGGGCCAAGCCCUCUCCUACCGUCUGAGUCCCUGGAAGGAGGAGGGCCAGGACAUCCGCGAUUUCUUCAAGCCGGGCCGGUGGCCGGUCUCCACGGCGUAGGAGGCGCGGUCCAUGGCUCGGCAGUAGAGGUCUGGAAAUAGAUUCAGAGAUGUGCUUGGACCCUUGCAGCAACCGAGGAACUUUCCUUAACCACCAUGACUUUCCACAAAUGAAAACCAGCAACCUCACAGUCACAUCGGCACUGCCCUUUGGAUCAGUCUGAUAUGAUUUUAUGUAUUUGAAAUUAUAAAGGUACCUGACAAAAGAAAGAACAGAGCAGACCUAGCAGACAAGGCAGACCAUCUCAAGUAACCUAAAAUCCAUCAAUUUUCAUCUCAGAGGACUUCCUUAGCAAGGUGUGCAUUGGCUUCUUGGAUGCUAGGCACCAUUCUGCACACAACCACAUGAGGUGCCUUUGAGCUGCUCUGUGCUCUCCUUCAGCAAUUCACCACGUCCUUCCAGGAAAAGACAGUUUAGAUGGAAUUGUCCUAAAGGCUGGAUUCACCCACAACUGCUGGCUGGAUUACCCUCUUGAAGUGAUUCCUAUCUUCCCCUCAGCUUUAUGUGCCUGUGACAGUCCAGUAGAUUUCUUGUCUGUAUUUAUAAGCUGCUGCUGUAGGGAUGAUUGAAAUGCAAAUCAGAAAGAGCCCUAUGGUGAAGCUAAUGUAAAGUGACAAUUUUCAACAGGAAAAGAUUCUUGUAAGGAAGACGCUAUGUGCUCCUCUAUCUGGAUAAGCCUUCUGAUUCCUUUUGUCAUCUCUAAAUUGACAUUAAUAUGACAUAGUGAAAAAGUGUAUUAAGAGA